CGCGCAGGCGGUCUUGUCCGUCAGGUGUGAAAGCUCGGGGCUCAACCCCGGAAGUGCACUUGAAACAGCAAGACUUGAAUACGGUAGAGGAGAGAGGAAUUCCUGGUGUAGAGGUGAAAUUCGUAGAUAUCAGGAGGAACACCGAUGGCGAAGGCAUCUCUCUGGGCCGAUAUUGACGCUGAGGCGCGAAGGCGUGGGUAGCGAACG
rnacentral:rRNA from 1 species